rnacentral:rRNA from 1 species
AUUGAACGCUGGCGGCAUGCCUUACACAUGCAAGUCGAACGGUAACGGGCCUUCGGGCGCCGACGAGUGGCGAACGGGUGAGUAAUGCAUCGGAACGUACCUUUCAGUGGGGGAUAACGUAGCGAAAGUUACGCUAAUACCGCAUAUUCUGUGAGCAGGAAAGCAGGGGAUCGCAAGACCUUGCGCUGAUUGAGCGGCCGAUGUCAGAUUAGCUAGUUGGUGAGGUAAAGGCUCACCAAGGCGACGAUCUGUAGCGGGUCUGAGAGGAUGAUCCGCCACACUGGAACUGAGACACGGUCCAGACUCCUACGGGAGGCAGCAGUGGGGAAUUUUGGACAAUGGGCGCAAGCCUGAUCCAGCCAUGCCGCGUGAGUGAAGAAGGCCUCGGUUGUAAG